rnacentral:rRNA from 1 species
UACGUAGGGCGCAAGCGUUUGUCCGGAAUUAUUGGGCGUAAAGAGCUCGUAGGUGGCUUGUCACGUCGGGUGUGGAAGCUUGGGGCUUAACUCCAGGUCUGCAUUCGAUACGGGCUGGCUAGAGGUAGGUAGGGGGAGAACGGAAUUCCUGGUGUAGCGGUGAAAUGCGCAGAUAUCAGGAGGAACACCGGUGGCGAAGGCGGGUCUCUGGGCCGAUACUGACGCUGAGGAGCGAAAGCGUGGGGAGCAAACAGG